CACCUCGAGAACUUGUUAAAAAGAAAAUUCUAUAGACCGGAAAUGAGGUUGAAGAUUUUGCAUUUCUAGCAAGCUUCUAAGAGAUG
rnacentral:pre_miRNA from 1 species